rnacentral:rRNA from 1 species
GAUGAACGCUGGCGGCGUGCCUAAUACAUGCAAGUCGAGCGAACAGACGAGGAGCUUGCUCCUCUGACGUUAGCGGCGGACGGGUGAGUAACACGUGGAUAACCUACCUUUUAGACUGGGAUAACUUCGGGAAACCGUAGCUAAUACCGGAUAAUAUAUUGAACCACAUGGCUCAUUUUUGAAAGGCGGAUUUGCUGUCCUACAUGAAUGAAUCCCCGUCGCAUUAGCUAGAUGUUAGGUUAACGGCUUACUAAGGGAACGAUGAGUAGCCGACCUGAGAGGGGGUUCGGCAACACGGGAACUGAGACACGGUCCAGACUCCUACGGGAGGCGGCAGUAGGGAAUCUUCGGCAAUGGGGGAAAGCCGGACGGAGCAACGCGGGGGGAGGGAGGAAGGUCUUCGGAUCGAAAGACUCGGUGAAUAGGGAAGAAGAGUGGUGUAAGUAACUAUGCACGUCUUGACGGUAGCUAAUCAGAAAGCCACGGCUAACUACGUG